AUCAACACAUCAACAAGAGGAAAGCUGAAGAGCCAACCAUAGCCUGGCUUCUGGCUGUAACCUGAACCAGACCCUGGAUACUGUCACUCAAAGGUUACUUAGAAUUACCCCUGCAGGUUUGACUUGGAAUUCCCUAUCACUGAUAACCUAAAUACAGAAAGGCAUCAAAGGAACAGAGACAGACGGUUUACAAGCUCCAAGCCCUACAGAUACUGAGGAAAUUAUGGCAUCCAUCUGCAAAGCAAUGGGGGAAAUUGAAGGUGUAUUUACAAGACAGAAGCUUCUUUGAGAGCUGCCCUUCAGCUUAGUGCCUUCCACUGACCUCACUACCAGGAACUCUUUAUCUCCACCCACCCAGAGAUGAGGAAAAGGAGAGGAUGCAGGUGGGAAGGCUGACUCUGUGCUUUUAAAUGAAAAGCUUGUCUCUAAUCAUUUAUGUGUCUUUUAAAAGUUUGGGGACCCAAAGUCAAGGCUCAUAUAUGCAGGGCAAACACUAUACCAUCGAUUUAUACACCAUCUAUCUUUAUCUCUCUUGGUUUAAAUGUGCGUGCAUACGCACAUUUAUUGUUUAUUCUAAAUCAACACACAAAAUUCUAUGUGGGUACAGUAAGUGUGUGUUUGUGGAACAGUUUUAAGUGUAUUCAGGUGGAUUGCUAAUGUGUAUGCUAGUGAAAUAAUUUCAGAUCUAUUAUCAGUGCAAAUUAGCAUGGCCAGUUGUCACUGCAUCAGAUUCAAUGGCAGAAGCUGUCUUUAGAUACAGGCCUCAAAGCAUCAAAGUAUUGUC
rnacentral:lncRNA from 1 species